AUUGAACGCUGGCGGCAGGCCUAACACAUGCAAGUCGAGCGGCAGCGGGAAAGUAGCUUGCUACUUUUGCCGGCGAGCGGCGGACGGGUGAGUAAUGCCUGGGGAUCUGCCCAGUCGAGGGGGAUAACUACUGUAAACGGUAGCUAAUACCGCAUACGCCCUACGGGGUAAAGCAGGGGACCUUCGGGCCCUGCGCGAUUGGAUGAACCCAGGUGGGAUUAGCUAGUUGGUGAGGUAAUGGCUCACCAAGGCGACGAUCCCUAGCUGGUCUGAGAGGAUGAUCAGCCACACUGGAACUGAGACACGGUCCAGACUCCUACGGGAGGCAGCAGUGGGGAAUAUUGCACAAUGGGGGAAACCCUGAUGCAGCCAUGCCGCGUGUGUGAAGAAGGCCUUCGGGUUGUAAAGCACUUUCAGCGAGGAGGAAAGGUUGGUAGCUAAUAACUGCCAGCUGUGACGUUACUCGCAGAAGAAGCACCGGCUAACUCCGUGCCAGCCGCCGCAGUAAGAC
rnacentral:rRNA from 1 species